UACGUAGGGGGCGAGCGUUGUCCGGAAUCAUUGGGCGUAAAGAGCGUGUAGGCGGCUCGGUAAGUCCGCUGUGAAAGUCCAGGGCUCAACCCUGGAAUGCCGGUGGAAACUGUCGAGCUAGAGUCCGGAAGAGGCGAGUGGAAUUCCUGGUGUAGCGGUGAAAUGCGCAGAUAUCAGGAGGAACACCAAUGGCGAAGGCAGCUCGCUGGGACGGUACUGACGCUGAGACGCGAAAGCGUGGGGAGCAAACAGG
rnacentral:rRNA from 1 species